rnacentral:rRNA from 1 species
AUUGAACGCUGGCGGCAUGCCUUACACAUGCAAGUCGAACGGCAGCACGGGGCAACCUGGUGGCGAGUGGCGAACGGGUGAGUAGUGCAUCGGAACGUACCUUUCAGUGGGGGAUAACGUAGCGAAAGUUACGCUAAUACCUCAAUUUCUGUGAGCAGGAAAGCAGGGGAUCGCAAGACCUGGAGCUGAUUGAGCGGCCGGUGUCAGAUUAGCUAGUUGGUGAGGUAAAGGCUCACCAAGGCGACGAUCUGUAGCGGGUCUGAGAGGAUGAUCCGCCACACUGGAACUGAGACACGGUCCAGACUCCUACGGGAGGCAGCAGUGGGGAAUUUUGGACAAUGGGGGCAACCCUGAUCCAGCCAUGCCGCGUGAGUGAAGAAGGCCUUCGGGUUGUAAAGCUCUUUCGGCCGGGAGGAAAUCGCACGGGCUAAUACCCUGUGUGGAUGACGGUACCGGAAUAAGAAGCACCGGCUAACUACGUGCCAGCCGCCGCGGUAACAC